CGGACGGGUGAGUAACGCGUGGGCAACCUGCCCUGUACAGGGGGAGUAACACUUAGAAAUAGGUGCUAAUACCGCAUGAGCGCACAAAGGCGCAUGCCUAUGUGCGGGAAGCCCGCGAGGGCGGUACGGGAUGGGCCCGCGUCUGAUUAGCCAGUUGGCAGGGUAACGGCCUACCAAAGCGACGAUCAGUAGCCGGCCUGAGAGGGUGGACGGCCACAUUGGGACUGAGACACGGCCCAAACUCCUACGGGAGGCAGCAG
rnacentral:rRNA from 1 species